UACGGGGGGGCAAGCGUUGUUCGGAAUUACUGGGCGUAAAGGGCUCGUAGGCGGCCCAACUAAGUCGGAUGUGAAAUCCCCAGGCUCAACUUGGGAACUGCAUCCGAUACUGGAUGGCUUGAAUUCGGGAGAGGGAUGCAGAAUUCCAGGUGUAGCGGUGAAAUGCGUAGAUAUCUGGAGGAAUACCGGUGGCGAAGGCGGCAUCCUGGACCGAC
rnacentral:rRNA from 1 species